rnacentral:rRNA from 1 species
GACGAACCGAGCGAACGUUAUUCGGAAUCACUGGGCUUAAAGCGCACGUAGGCGGAUCUUUAAGUCAGGGGUGAAAUCCCGAGGCUCAACCUCGGAACUGCCCUUGAUACUGGGGAUCUCGAGUCCGGAAGAGGUUGGUGGAACUCCGAGUGUAGAGGUGAAAUUCGUAGAUAUUCGGAAGAACACCAGUGGCGAAGGCGGCCAACUGGUCCGGCACUGACGCUGAGGUGCGAAAGCGUGGGGAGCAAACAGG